AGGGUUUGACAUCCUGUGACCGCUCCUUAAUAGGAGUUUUCCCGCAAGGGACGCAGAGACAGGUGCUGCAUGGCUGUCGUCAGCUCGUGUCGUGAGAUGUUGGGUUAAGUCCCGCAACGAGCGCAACCCUCGCCUUUAGUUGCCAUCAUUCAGUUGGGCACUCUAGAGGGACCGCCGGCGACAAGCCGGAGGAAGGUGGGGAUGACGUCAAGUCCUCAUGGCCCUUACACCCUGGGCUACACACGUGCUACAAUGGCGGUGACAGUGGGCAGCUACUUCGCGAGGAGCGGCUAAUCCCAAAAAACCGUCCCAGUUCAGAUUGCACUCUGCAACUCGAGUGCAUGAAGGUGGAAUCGCUAGUAAUCGCAGAACAGCAGGCUGCGGUGAAUACGUUCCCGGGCC
rnacentral:rRNA from 1 species